UAUCAAUAAGCGGAGGAAAAGAAACCAACAGGGAUUGCCCCAGUAACGGCGAGUGAAGCGGCAACAGCUCAAAUUUGAAAUCUGGCUCCUUUGGGGUCCGAGUUGUAAUUUGUAGAGGGUGCUUUGGCGUUGGUUGUGGUCUAAGUUCCUUGGAACAGGACGUCACAGAGGGUGAGAAUCCCGUACGUGGCCGCCAGCCUUCGCCGUGUAAAGCCCCUUCGAUGAGUCGAGUUGUUUGGGAAUGCAGCUCUAAAUGGGAGGUAAAUUUCUUCUAAAGCUAAAUAUUUGCCAGAGACCGAUAGCGCACAAGUAGAGUGAUCGAAAGAUGAAAAGCACUUUGGAAAGAGAGUCAAAAAGCACGUGAAAUUGUUGAAAGGGAAGCGCUUGCAGCUAGACGUGCCUUGGGUUGAUCAGCCGGACUUUUGCCCGGUGCACUCUUCCUUUGGCAGGCCAGCAUCAGUUUGGGCGGCUGGAUAAAGGUCUGUUAAACGUGACUCCCUCCGGGGAGAGCUUAUAGGGCAGACGACAUGCAGCCAGCCUGAACUGAGGUCCGCGCAUCUGCUAGGAUGCUGGCAUAAUAGCUGUAAGCGGCCCGUCUUGAAACACGGACCAAGGAGUCUAACAUCUAUGCGAGUGUUUGGGUGUCAAGCCCGAGCGCGUAAUGAAAGUAAACGGAGGUGGGAACCUUUACGGUGCACCAUCGACCGAUCCUGAUAAUUUGGAUGGAUUUGAGUAAGAGCAUAGCUGUUGGGACCCGAAAGAUGGUGAACUAUGCCUGAAUAGGGUGAAGCCAGAGGAAACUCUGGUGGAGGCUCGCAGCGGUUCUGACGUGCAAAUCGAUCGUCAAAUUUGGGCAUAGGGGCGAAAGACUAAUCGAACUAUCUAGUAGCUGGUUCCUGCCGA
rnacentral:rRNA from 1 species